UACGUAGGGGGCAAGCGUUGUCCGGAAUCAUUGGGCGUAAAGCGCGUGUAGGCGGCCUUGUAAGGCCGUUGUGAAAGUCCGGGGCUCAACCCCGGGAGGCGGAUGGAUACUGCAAGGCUCGAGUCCGGAAGAGGCAAGUGGAAUUCCCGGUGUAGCGGUGAAAUGCGCAGAUAUCGGGAGGAACACCAAUGGCGAAGGCAGCUUGCUGGGACGGUACUGACGCUGAGACGCGAAAGCGUGGGGAGCAAACAGG
rnacentral:rRNA from 1 species